rnacentral:rRNA from 1 species
GAUGAACGCUGGCGGCGUGCCUAAUACAUGCAAGUCGAGCGAACGGACGAGAAGCUUGCUUCUCUGACGUUAGCGGCGGACGGGUGAGUAACACGUGGAUAACCUACCUAUAAGACUGGGAUAACUUCGGGAAACCGGAGCUAAUACCGGAUAAUAUUUUGAACCGCAUGGUUCAAAAGUGAAAGACGGUCUUGCUGUCACUUAUAGAUGGAUCCGCGCUGCAUUAGCUAGUUGGUAAGGUAACGGCUUACCAAGGCAACGAUGCAUAGCCGACCUGAGAGGGUGAUCGGCCACACUGGAACUGAGACACGGUCCAGACUCCUACGGGAGGCAGCAGUAGGGAAUCUUCCGCAAUGGGCGAAAGCCUGACGGAGCAACGCCGCGUGAGUGAUGAAGGUCUUCGGAUCGUAAAACUCUGUUAUUAGGGAAGAACAUAUGUGUAAGUAACUGUGCACAUCUUGACGGUACCUAAUCAGAAAGCCACGGCUAACUACGUGCCAGCAGCCGCGGUAAUACGUAGGUGGCAAGCGUUAUCCGGAAUUAUUGGGCGUAGAGCGCGCGUAGGCGGUUUUUUAAGUCUGAUGUGAAAGCCCACGGCUCAACCGUGGAGGGUCAUUGGAAACUGGAAAACUUGAGUGCAGAAGAGGAAAGUGGAAUUCCAUGUGUAGCGGUGAAAUGCGCAGAGAUAUGGAGGAACACCAGUGGCGAAGGCGACUUUCUGGUCUGUAACUGACGCUGAUGUGCGAAAGCGUGGGGAUCAAACAGGAUUAGAUACCCUGGUAGUCCACGCCGUAAACGAUGAGUGCUAAGUGUUAGGGGGUUUCCGCCCCUUAGUGCUGCAGCUAACGCAUUAAGCACUCCGCCUGGGGAGUACGACCGCAAGGUUGAAACUCAAAGGAAUUGACGGGGACCCGCACAAGCGGUGGAGCAUGUGGUUUAAUUCGAAGCAACGCGAAGAACCUUACCAAAUCUUGACAUCCUUUGACAACUCUAGAGAUAGAGCUUUCCCCUUCGGGGGACAAAGUGACAGGUGGUGCAUGGUUGUCGUCAGCUCGUGUCGUGAGAUGUUGGGUUAAGUCCCGCAACGAGCGCAACCCUUAAGCUUAGUUGCCAUCAUUAAGUUGGGCACUCUAAGUUGACUGCCGGUGACAAACCGGAGGAAGGUGGGGAUGACGUCAAAUCAUCAUGCCCCUUAUGAUUUGGGCUACACACGUGCUACAAUGGACAAUACAAAGGGCAGCGAAACCGCGAGGUCAAGCAAAUCCCAUAAAGUUGUUCUCAGUUCGGAUUGUAGUCUGCAACUCGACUACAUGAAGCUGGAAUCGCUAGUAAUCGUAGAUCAGCAUGCUACGGUGAAUACGUUCCCGGGUCU